UUACAGCCAUAUCAGGAUUAAACACUGGUUGUUGUAUGAUCACCAAAGUUAAGCAAUAUCGAGCCUGGUCAGUACCUGGAUGGGUGAUCACCUGGGAAUACCAGGUGCUGUAAG